UGAAAAGCACCCCGAGAGGGGAGUGAAACAGCGCCUGAAACCGUGCGCCCCCAAGCAGCGGGAGCCGUUCCGACGACGGUGACCGCGUGCCUUUUGUAGAAUGAGCCUGCGAGUCGCGGCAUGCGGCGAGGUUAAGGGACACCGAGCCGCAGCGAAAGCGAGCCUGAACAGGGCGAUUUGAGUCGCAUGCCGCGGACGCGAAGCCGGGUGAGCUAUCCAUGGGCAGGGUGAAGCGGGGGUAAGACCCCGUGGAGGCCCGAACCCACUUCGGUUGAAAACGGAGGGGAUGACCCGUGGAUAGGGGUGAAAGGCCUAUCAAACCCGGAGAUAUCUCGUUCUCCCCGAAACAGCUUUAGGGCUGGCCCCGGGCAUUGACCAUCGGAGGUAGAGCACUGGACCGGCGAGGGGGCCUCACCGCCUACCGACCCAGACCAAACUCCGAAUGCCGAUGGUUUUAACCCCGGGAGUCAGAGCGCGUGGGCUAAGCUGCGCGCUCGAGAGGGAAACAGCCCAGACCGCCCGCCAAGGCCCCAAAGGCCGUGCUAAGUGGCAAAGGAUGUGCGCCCGCCCAGACAACCAGGAUGUUGGCUUAGAAGCAGCCAUGCAUUCAAAGAGUGCGUAACAGCUCACUGGUCGAGUGGGGGCGCGCCGACAAUGCGCGGGGCUCAAGCACGGCGCCGAAGCGGCGGAAUCAUUUAUUUGAUUGGUAGGGGAGCUUUCCAUGCCGGGCGAAGCCGGAGGCGCGAGCCCCGGUGGACGGCAUGGAAGUGAGGAUGCAGGCAUGAGUAGCGAGAGAGCGGCGAGAAACCGCUCCGCCGAAAACCCAAGGUUUCCUGGGCGAGGCUAAUCCCCCCAGGGUCAGCCGGGAGCUAAGGCGAGGCCGCAAGGCGCAGCCGAUGCACGACGGGCAGACAUUCCCGUGCCGGCGCGGGCGCGCUACGACCGAUGGGACGACGGGGAAGGAUACGCGAGCGGGGUUCUGGACGUCCCCGUGAAAGCGCGUAGGGAGGGGCCCAGGGAAAUCCGGUCCCCACGAAUCCCGAGACGCGAGACGAGCCGCACGGCGAAGUCGCGGAUUCCAUGCCUCCUAGAAAAAUCCCUAGGCAGCGCCCACGCCGCCCGUACCAAAACCGACACAGGUGGGUAGGAAGAGCAUUCCGAGGCGAUCGGGGCAACCAUGGUCAAGGAACUCGGCAUAAUCGUCCCGUAACUUAGGGAGAAGGGACGCCCCCCAGCGUGUACCGGCUCGCCCGGGAAGCGCCGGGGGGCCGCAGCGAAAGGGCCCAAGCGACUGUUUACCAAAAACACAGGACUCUGCCAAGCCGCGAGGCGAAGUAUAGGGUCUGACGCCUGCCCGGUGCCGGAAGGUCACGGGGAUCCGUUAGCCUUUGGCGAAGCGGUGAACCCAAGCCCCGGUAAACGGCGGCCGUAACUAUAACGGUCCUAAGGUAGCGAAAUUCCUUGUCGGGUAAGUUCCGACCUGCACGAACGGCGCAACGACUUGGGCGCUGUCUCGACCAUGGGCCCGGCGAAAUUGCAUUAUCCGUGAAGAUGCGGAUUCCCCGCGGAAGGACGGAAAGACCCCGUGAACCUUUACUGCAGCUUGGCAUUGGCCGCAGGCGCGGCGCGUAGAGGAUAGGCAGGAGGCUGCGAAGCCCGGGCGCCAGCCCGGGCGGAGCCGACCUUGGAAUACUGCCCCCGUCGCGUCGGCGGCCUAACCCGGGGACGGCCCGGGGACCGUGCCAGGCGGGCAGUUUGACUGGGGCGGUCGCCUCCCAAAGAGUAACGGAGGCGCGCGCAAGGUCCGCUCAGGACGGUCGGCAACCGUCCGCGGAGCGCAAGAGCACAAGCGGGCCUGACUGCGAGGCAGACAAGCCGAGCAGGGACGAAAGUCGGCUCUAGUGAUCCGGCGGCCCCGAGUGGAA
rnacentral:rRNA from 1 species